UGGGGAAUAUUGGACAAUGGGCGAAAGCCUGAUCCAGCAAUGCCGCGUGAGUGAUGAAGGCCCUAGGGUUGUAAAGCUCUUUUACCCGGGAUGAUAAUGACAGUACCGGGAGAAUAAGCUCCGGCUAACUCCGUGCCAGCAGCCGCGGUAAUACGGAGGGAGCUAGCGUUGUUCGGAAUUACUGGGCGUAAAGCGCACGUAGGCGGCUUUGUAAGUUAGAGGUGAAAGCCCGGGGCUCAACCCCGGAAUUGCCUUUAAGACUGCAUCGCUUGAAUCCAGGAGAGGUGAGUGGAAUUCCGAGUGUAGAGGUGAAAUUCGUAGAUAUUCGGAAGAACACCAGUGGCGAAGGCGGCUCACUGGACUGGUAUUGACGCUGAGGUGCGAAAGCGUGGGGAGCAAACA
rnacentral:rRNA from 1 species